rnacentral:rRNA from 1 species
CCUACGGGAGGCAGCAGUAGGGAAUAUUGGACAAUGGACGCAAGUCUGAUCCAGCCAUCCCGCGUGAAGGAUUAAGGCCCUAUGGGUUGUAAACUUCUUUUCUUUGGGAAUAAAAAGCGGUAUUCAUAUCGCCUUGAAGGUACCAGAGGAAUAAGCACCGGCUAACUCCGUGCCAGCAGCCGCGGUAAUACGGAGGGUGCAAGCGUUAUCCGGAUUCACUGGGUUUAAAGGGUGCGUAGGUGGCUUUGUAAGUCAGCGGUGAAAGCCUGGGGCUCAACUCCAGAAUUGCCAUUGAUACUGCAGAGCUUGAAUCAAGUUGAGGUGGAUGGAAUAUUACAUGUAGCGGUGAAAUGCUUAGAUAUGUAAUAGAACACCGAUUGCGAAGGCAGUUCACUAAGCUUGUAUUGACACUGAGGCACGAAAGCGUGGGGAUCAAACAGGAUUAGAUACCCUGGUAGUCCACGCCCUAAACGAUGCAAACUCGACAUUAGCGAUAUACAGUUAGUGUCCAAGCGAAAGCGUUAAGUUUGCCGCGNGGAGUAACGACCGCGAGUUAGUAAGUUAGAAGAAGUUGNGGNGNGAGAGNGCGACGGACGACGACGAGGGAGGAGG